GCGAAGAACCUUACCAGGUCUUGACAUCCCCUGACAACCCGAGAGAUCGGCGUUCCCCUUCGGGGGACAGGGUGACGAGGUGGUGCAUGGUUGUCGUCAGCUCGUGUCGUGAGAUGUUGGGUUAAGUCCCGCAACGAGCGCAACCCUCGACCUUAGUUGCCAGCAUUCAGUUGGGCACUCUAAGGUGACUGCCGGCUAAAAGUCGGAGGAAGUGGGGAUGACGUCAAAUCAUCAUGCCCCUUAUGACCUGGGCUACACACGUGCUACAAUGGGCGGUACAAAGGGUCGCGAACCCGCGAGGGGGAGCCAAUCCCAAAAAGCCGCUCUCAGUUCGGAUUGCAGGCUGCAACUCGCCUGCAUGAAGCCGGAAUCGCUAGUAAUCGCGGAUCAGCAUGCCGCGGUGAAUACGUUCCCGGGCCUU
rnacentral:rRNA from 1 species